rnacentral:rRNA from 1 species
ACUCCUGCGGGAGGCAGCAGUGGGGAAUAUUGGACAAUGGGCGCAAGCCUGAUCCAGCCAUGCCGCGUGAGUGAUGAAGGCCCUAGGGUUGUAAAGCUCUUUCACCGGUGAAGAUAAUGACGGUAACCGGAGAAGAAGCCCCGGCUAACUUCGUGCCAGCAGCCGCGGUAAUACGAAGGGGGCUAGCGUUGUUCGGAUUUACUGGGCGUAAAGCGCACGUAGGCGGACUAUUAAGUCAGGGGUGAAAUCCCGGGGCUCAACCCCGGAACUGCCUUUGAUACUGGUAGUCUUGAGUUCGAGAGAGGUGAGUGGAAUUCCGAGUGUAGAGGUGAAAUUCGUAGAUAUUCGGAGGAACACCAGUGGCGAAGGCGGCUCACUGGCUCGAUACUGACGCUGAGGUGCGAAAGCGUGGGGAGCAAACAGGAUUAGAUACCCCUGUAGUCCCA